rnacentral:rRNA from 1 species
UACGAAGGGGGCUAGCGUUGCUCGGAAUCACUGGGCGUAAAGCGCACGUAGGCGGCUUUGUAAGUCAGAGGUGAAAUCCCGGGGCUCAACCCCGGAACUGCCUUUGAGACCGCAUCGCUUGAAUCCAGGAGAGGUGAGUGGAAUUCCGAGUGUAGAGGUGAAAUUCGUAGAGAUUGGAAAGAACACCGAUGGCGAAGGCACUUGACUGGGCUAAUACUAACACUCAGGGACGAAAGCGUGGGUAGCAAAUAGG